rnacentral:rRNA from 1 species
CUACCACCCUUUGUUUAUUACACUUUGUUGCUUUGGCAAGCCUGCCCUCGGGCUGCUGGCUCCGGCCGGCGAGCGCUUGCCAGAGGACCUAAACUCUGUUUGUCUAUACUGUCUGAGUACUAUAUAAUAGUUAAAACUUUCAACAACGGAUCUCUUGGUUCUGGCAUCGAUGAAGAACGCAGCGAAAUGCGAUAAGUAAUGUGAAUUGCAGAAUUCAGUGAAUCAUCGAAUCUUUGAACGCACAUUGCGCCCCCUGGUAUUCCGGGGGGCAUGCCUGUCCGAGCGUCAUUACAACCCUCAAGCUCAGCUUGGUGUUGGGCCCCGCCGCCCCGGCGGGCCCUAAAGUCAGUGGCGGUGCCGUCCGGCUCCGAGCGUAGUAAUUCUUCUCGCUCUGGAGGUCCGGUCGUGUGCUCGCCAGCAACCCCCAAUUUUUUUCAGGUUGACCUCGGAUCAGGUAGGGAUACCCGCUGAACUUAAGCAUAUC